rnacentral:ncRNA from 1 species
UGACCUCGGAUCAGGUAGGGAUACCCGCUGAACUUAAGCAUAUCAAUAAGCGGAGGAAAAGAAACCAACCGGGAUUGCCUCAGUAACGGCGAGUGAAGCGGCAAGAGCUCAAAUUUGAAAGCUGGCUCCUUCGGGGUCCGCAUUGUAAUUUGCAGAGGAUGCUUCGGGUGCGGCCCCUGUCUAAGUGCCCUGGAACGGGCCGUCAGAGAGGGUGAGAAUCCCGUC